CAGUAUAGAAAUUGUUUAAAUGAAGAAAGAAGAAUAAACUCCCUGCAAAUGUAAAAAAAAAAAAAAGCCCGACACAGCAAGGAGAAUGAAUCUUACCUAUCCCUUUGCCUGUUGUGUUGCUUUUCUAUUUGCAGUGAGUUCUUAACUUAGGGAGAAGGGACAUAGGUUGUACCGCUUCAGAAUACGGUGGUACCUUGGGUUACAUACGCUUCAAGUUACAGACUCUGCUAACCCAGAAAUAUUACCUCGGGUUAAGAACUUUGCUUCAGGAUGAGAACAGAAAUCGUGCUCCAGUGGCGCGGUGGCAGCAGGAGGCCCCAUUAACUAAAGUGGUACCUCAGGUUAAGAACAGGUUCAGGUUAAGAACGAACCUCCAGAACGAAUUAAGUACUUAACCUGAGGUACCACUGUACAAUACAUACUGAACUCUGUGGGGCUUACUUCUGAGUGUGUGUUUCAAAGACUGGGGGAAAUUGAAGCUAUUUUGUGAAGCAAUGAAAGCUGGUGAUUUAGUGUUUAUACUGAAUUUACCAUAGGUCUUUAAAUCAGAGAUGCAAUUUAUCAUCUUUGGAUUUCUUUGUUGAAAUUGUGCUUGGAAAAAGUGUACAUUUUGACAGGAAGGAAACCUCACUCUUCUCUGCUCAAAUAAUAACAACAAGCCUGCACUCUGCACUAUUUCUUACCCUUUUCCGUUAGUUUAAAACGAGAAGCAGACAUUAAAGAAGACCAACCACACGGCGUCAUCUCCUUUCAACUUCUGUUAACAGGGGCAUUAAAAAGACCCUCCUCAAUAUCAGCUGGAAAAUGCCAAGUCAUAAAAGUUGUACUUAAAAGGACAGGUGGCAACCCUAGAAAGCCCCAACUGCAAGAUGACAACUCCUCAGAUGUUUUCUGCCUGUGCACUGAAUGGCUGCAAGGAAUUGCGUCUUUGCCCGACAGCAGGAGUGCUUCACAUUGGGACCAAGUCCCAGGACUUUUCGUUUUAAUUAUUGCAGAACAUUAAAGCGUUCUGUGGUUUGGCCCCGCUUUCUUUCUCCAUCA